AUGGGUAACCUAGCUCCUUCCUCCACACUUCUUGGCCUCUGGCAGAAAGCCUUUCUGCAUGAUAAUGGGCCUGGGUUGCCUCGUCAGGGAGCAAACAGAUCUCUCUCAGUGAGGAUUCAGACCACAUUAUCUCAGAGUGUUCGUGCCCAAUUUAACAGAUCCAUGAUUAAAAGGGCUGGUGUGCCUGCAGCUCACACUGAGAAAUGAAAUGGAAUUUUGACCAGAGGGAUCCAUGUCUACCCAUGAUGAUGAAAUUAAAAAACAAGCAAAAAACCAAAAAGAUUUCAGUGGCCAUGGACAUCUCUGACCAUCCAGUGGUGCUACAUCAGACUGAAAAAGAGACCUGGGAUCUUGCAGGGGAAGGAAGAGUGAAUCCAGGGAGUGAUACCUUCUAUUAAAGAGUGGAAAGCUCACGUCCCAGCCUCCAGAGCCAUGAGAACCACUCACUGAGCCCCGGCCAAUGGAAUGUGGCGGAGGUGGUGGACAGGACUUCGCUGAUCGCAGGGAGUGUGGUCCCCCUUCCCGUUCUCCCAUACAACCACUACCUCAUUGUGACACAGGUUUGUCUCAGAACAGUUCAACUCUCUUGCCAGUGAUGAGGACGCAAAGGAAAGGAUGAACUGUUUUCAGCUAUUUUCAGGCGCUCUUGUCAAGACUCUUAGGCUACCAGUCCAGGAGCCUGAAAUGCUGAAACUCAGAGUUUAGGAUGAACUCCAACAUGAACUGAGGGCACUGAACAUAGUUUCGUGCAGAGUUUUGGGUCUUCUCAUUAUUUGCCCUCGUGACUGUUAGUUAAAUAUCAUUACCUGAAAAAUCACAACUAUGCACGUGGAAAAAAAAGUUUGAAAGGUUGGUUCUGAUCCUCCAUGUUGUGAGUUUUUUGGUUUUUGUGUGUUUUUUUUUUUUUUGUAAAAACAGGUAUGUACUGUUUUGACUUCAUAUUAAAAAUUACUUUUCACUUAACUGGAAGUCAGAUAAAUAAUUAUCUUGGUUAACUACACAGCAAGUCACCCUCAGACUUUGUGGCUUAAAACAAGGAUUUGUUCUGAUUCUGCGGGCAGC